rnacentral:rRNA from 1 species
UACGGAGGAUGCGAGCGUUAUCCGGAUUUAUUGGGUUUAAAGGGUGCGUAGGCGGCGAGUUAAGUCAGCGGUAAAAGCCCGGGGCUCAACCCCGGCCUGCCGUCGGAACUGGGUGCCUUGAGUGGGCGAGAAGUACGCGGAAUGCGCGGUGUAGCGGUGAAAUGCUUAGAUAUCACGCAGAACUCCGAUUGCGAAGGCAGCAUACCGGCGCCCUACUGACGCUGAGGCACGAAAGCGUGGGUAUCGAACAGG